GGCCAUAUGGCCCAAUGGCAAGGCGCUUGACUACGAAUCAAGAGAUUCCAGGUUCGACCCCUGGUAUGGUCA